GGGCUGACGGGCUCAGGGGCUCGGGCUGUCGGAGGAAACUCGGAAUGUCAGUUACGACAGUGCUGCCGUGUAGGAAGCAUUGCCGCACAUGCUGGCUCUAGUCCCAUAUGAACUUAGUGACGUGAUUUUCCAAAUGGCAAAAGGAGGUAGGAGCAAUGAAACAAAGAAGUGAUCCCUUGUUUACAGCACACCGUCUGGAUGAUUUUACUCAAGGCAAUAUAAUUUUUCAAACUGAAAACGGAAGUGGUCUCAAAUUAGUCACCAGUAUUUUGGCAAUACUGUGAAGAAAACAAAUGGACUAGUACGUAAUCUCUUGUAAAUGAGUAGUAGUCAUCAUGGAUUCUGUCAAUCAUAACCAAGAGAAGAUCUGUCGUACCUUCUUCAACUAUCGCCAUUUUUUUUUUUUUUCGAAUUCUGUAUUUGCAGUUUAAAUUUAGCAGCUCCUUUUUUUACGUGAAUUUUAAUCUAAUUAUGGAAUAAUUUUGGCUCCUACCCAUAAAAUAAUAAUGCUA